UGCAGAUGAUGUGAGAAAAUAUUUGCUAUCUGAGUGGUGGUGCAGACCUCCCUGACCACCAACAUUGCUGAUGUA